rnacentral:rRNA from 1 species
UUGACCUCGGAUCAGGUAGGAAUACCCGCUGAACUUAAGCAUAUCAAUAAGCGGAGGAAAAGAAACCAACAGGGAUUGCCCUAGUAACGGCGAGUGAAGCGGCAACAGCUCAAAUUUGAAAUCUGGCUCUCGGGCCCGAGUUGUAAUUUGUAGAGGAUGCUUUUGAUGCGGUGCCUUCCGAGUUCCCUGGAACGGGACGCCAUAGAGGGUGAGAGCCCCGUCUGGUUGGAUGCCAAAUCUCUGUAAAGCUCCUUCGACGAGUCGAGUAGUUUGGGAAUGCUGCUCUAAAUGGGAGGUAUAUGUCUUCUAAAGCUAAAUACCGGCCAGAGACCGAUAGCGCACAAGUAGAGUGAUCGAAAGAUGAAAAGCACUUUGAAAAGAGAGUUAAAAAGUACGUGAAAUUGUUGAAAGGGAAGCGUUUAUGACCAGACUUGGGCUUGGUUAAUCAUCUGGGGUUCUCCCCAGUGCACUUUUCCAGUCCAGGCCAGCAUCAGUUUUCGCCGGGGGAUAAAGGCUUCGGGAAUGUGGCUCCCUCCGGGGAGUGUUAUAGCCCGUUGCGUAAUACCCUGGCGG